rnacentral:rRNA from 1 species
AACGAACGCUGGCGGCAGGCCUAACACAUGCAAGUCGAACGCUCUAGCAAUAGAGAGUGGCAGACGGGUGAGUAACGCGUGGGAAACUUCCUAGGGGUACGGAAUAGCUCAGGGAAACUUGGGGUAAUACCGUAUGAUGCCGUAAGGCCAAAGAUUUAUCGCCCUUAGAUGUGCCCGCGUCGGAUUAGCUAGUUGGUGAGGUAAUGGCUCACCAAGGCGACGAUCCGUAGCUGGUUUGAGAGAAUGACCAGCCACACUGGGACUGAGACACGGCCCAGACUCCUACGGGAGGCAGCAGUGGGGAAUCUUGGACAAUGGGCGCAAGCCUGAUCCAGCCAUGCCGCGUGAGUGACGAAGGCCUUAGGGUUGUAAAGCUCUUUUGCCCGGGACGAUAAUGACGGUACCCGGAGAAUAAGUCCCGGCUAACUUCGUGCCAGCAGCCGCCGUAAGAC